rnacentral:lncRNA from 1 species
CCCGCCCCGCCCCGCCCCGCCGAGGCCUCAAUCGGCUCUCGCGUCGACCCUCGAGGGUUCCACCCUGCCUGCCACGCGGGGCCACCCUCCCAGCCGCAGCGCGUCGCGAGGGGGGCUCGCUCGAAACCCUAGCCGCCGCCCGCAAUGUCUCGCCGCGGCCGCGAGGAGGAGGACGAGGAGGUAGAGGAGGUAGAGGAGGAGGAGGGGAG